AUGAAUGACUUAGGAGUGGCUGAUGUCAUUCUAAACAUCAAGUUGUUGAGAGAUGAUGAUGGUGGUAUUACAUUGUUUCAAUCUCACUAUGUGGAAAAGAUCUUGAGUCGCUUUGGCUAUAGUGACUGCAAGCCCUCUCCAACACCAUAUGAUGCUAGCAUGCUGCUUCGAAAGAAUCUAAGAAUUGCUAGAGAUCAAUUGAAGUAUUCUCAGAUUAUUGGCUCGCUUAUGUACUUAGCCAGUGCUACAAGACCUGACAUCUCUUUUGCUGUUAGCAAACUGAGUCGGUUUGUUUCAAAACCAGGAGAUGUGCAUUGGAAAGCUCUAGAGAGUGUUUUGCGUUAUUUGAAAGGCACUGCGAAUUAUGGAAUUCACUACACUGGGCAUCCAAAGGUGCUUGAAGGGUAUAGUGACUCAAACUGGAUCUCAGAUGCUGAUGAGAUAAAGGCCACGAGCGGUUAUGUAUUCACUCAUGGAGGUGGCGCUGUUUCUUGGAAGGCUUGCAAGCAGACCAUCUUAACGAGGUCAACAAUGGAAGCAGAACUCACAGCACUAGAUACAGCUACGGUCGAAGCAGAUUGGCUUCGCCGGCUCUUGAAUGACUUGCCGGUAGUUGAGAAACCUGUACCGGGUAUCCUUAUGAACUGUGACAAUCAAACUGUGGUCACUAAAGUGAGCAGCUCAAAGGAUAACAUGAAGUCAUCAAGACAUGUUCAGAGAAGGUUAAAGUCUGUCAGGAAAAUGAAAAACUCCAGAGUUAUUGCAUUGGACUAUAUCCAAACGUCUAAAAAUCUGGCAGAUCCUUUUACUAAGGGUCUAUCACGCAAUGUGAUAGAUAAUGCAUCGAGGGAGAUGGGAAUGAGACCCACAAUAUGA
rnacentral:rRNA from 1 species